rnacentral:pre_miRNA from 1 species
AGUGGGAUUGCUGGGCCAUAUUCUGAGUGCAUAUUUAACUUUAUAAGAAACUGACAAACUGCUUUCCAAAUUGACUGCAUUAUUUGCAUUCCCACCAGCAAU